rnacentral:rRNA from 1 species
UACGUAGGGUGCGAGCGUUGUCCGGAAUUAUUGGGCGUAAAGAGCUCGUAGGCGGUUUGUUGCGUCGGCCGUGAAAACCUGCAGCUUAACUGUGGGCCUGCGGCCGAUACGGGCAGACUUGAGUUCGGUAGGGGAGACUGGAAUUCCUGGUGUAGCGGUGAAAUGCGCAGAUAUCAGGAAGAACACCAAUGGCGAAAGCAGCUCUCUGGGACGGUACUGACGCUGAGACGCGAAAGCGUGGGGAGCGAACAGG